rnacentral:snRNA from 1 species
AGAUCGCUUCAGCCCAGGAGCUUGAGGCCGCAGUGAGCUAUGAUUGCACCUCUGAACUCCAGCCUGGGCAACAGAG